rnacentral:rRNA from 1 species
GACGAACGCUGGCGGCGUGCUUAACACAUGCAAGUCGAACGGUAAGGCCCUUCGGGGUACACGAGUGGCGAACGGGUGAGUAACACGUGGGUGAUCUGCCCUGCACUUCGGGAUAAGACUGGGAAACUGGGUCUAAUACCGGAUAGGACCACUGCCUGCAUGGGUGGCGGUGGAAAGCGUUUGCGGUGUGGGAUGGGCCCGCGGCCUAUCAGCUUGUGGGUGGGGUGAUGGCCUACCAAGGCGACGACGGGUAGCCGGCCUGAGAGGGUGACCGGCCACACUGGGACUGAGAUACGGCCCAGACUCCUACGGGAGGCAGCAGUGGGGAAUAUUGCACAAUGGGCGCAAGCCUGAUGCAGCGACGCCGCGUGAGGGAUGACGGCCUUCGGGUUGUAAACCUCUUUCAGCACCGACGAAGCGCAAGUGACGGUAGGUGCAGAAGAAGGACCGGCCAACUACGUGCCAGCCGCCGCGGUAA